GGACAUAUAGCUUAAUGGAUAGAGUUCACGACUACGAAUCGUGUGAUAUAGGUUCGAUUCCUAUUAUGUCUG
rnacentral:tRNA from 1 species